GGAGAAUUGGGUGUGCUGAGCCAUGGGCAAAACCAGGCUGUCACAAGCAAGACCUGCAAAAGGCCAUGAAUUUCACGACCUCUACUGCUGCCAGGUUAUAGAGCCAGGGAUUGCCUGCAGAAGAUCUCAUGAAGAUCCAUCCAGAUGCCAUGUGUAUACAAACCUACCUGAAGACCUACUGCUGGUGGAUCCAAUGCCCCUGUGCUAAAGAUGGAAGCCUAGCUUGGAGGCAAAGUGCAUGGGGUGGUGGCCAGACAUCCACAAGGAUACGUCACAAAGGAAAGCUGGGACUGUGAUUUGGGAGCUUGAAGUCAAUACUUGAAUCAUCAGCGUGGACCAAGUUGAAGCUUGUUCGUGAGAAAAUCUGAUUAAACAUAGAGGGAGAAGAGAAGGG
rnacentral:lncRNA from 1 species